AGUCGAACGAUGAAGCCCUUCGGGGUGGAUUAGUGGCGAACGGGUGAGUAACACGUGGGCAAUCUGCCCUUCACUCUGGGACAAGCCCUGGAAACGGGGUCUAAUACCGGAUACGACCUGCCGAGGCAUCUCGGCGGGUGGAAAGCUCCGGCGGUGAAGGAUGAGCCCGCGGCCUAUCAGCUUGUUGGUGGGGUAAUGGCCUACCAAGGCGACGACGGGUAGCCGGCCUGAGAGGGCGACCGGCCACACUGGGACUGAGACACGGCCCAGACUCCUACGGGAGGCAGCAGUGGGGAAUAUUGCACAAUGGGCGCAAGCCUGAUGCAGCGACGCCGCGUGAGGGAUGACGGCCUUCGGGUUGUAAACCUCUUUCAGCAGGGAAGAAGCGCAAGUGACGGUACCUGCAGAAGAAGCGCCGGCUAACUACGUGCCAGCAGCCGCGGUAAUACGUAGGGCGCAAGCGUUGUCCGGAAUUAUUGGGCGUAAAGAGCUCGUAGGCGGCUUGUCACGUCGGGUGUGAAAGCCCGGGGCUUAACCCCGGGUCUGCAUCCGAUACGGGCAGGCUAGAGUGUGGUAGGGGAGAUCGGAAUUCCUGGUGUAGCGGUGAAAUGCGCAGAUAUCAGGAGGAACACCGGUG
rnacentral:rRNA from 1 species